rnacentral:SRP_RNA from 1 species
GCCAGGUGUGGUGGCACGUGCCUGUAGUCCCAGCUACUCAGGAGGCUGAGGUUGGAGGAUCGCUCGAGCCCAGGAGUUCUGGGCUGUAGUGCCCUAUGCUGAUCAGGUGUCCGCACUAAGUUCAGCAUCAAUAUGGUGACCUCCCAGGAGUGGGGAGCCACCAGGUUGCCUAAGGAGGGGUGAACCGGCCCAGGUCGGAAAUGGAGCAGGUCAAAACUCCGUGCUGAUCAGUGGUGGGAUCAUGCCUGUGAAUAGCCACUGCACUCCAGCCUGGGCAACAUAGCGAGACCCCGUCUCU